CAUUGCUGUUGUGUGCUUGUUAAAUGUUAGUGGGUAUCCUAUAGGGGGAUGCCGAUAUUGGUUGUCAUUACUAGAGGGAGUAAGUGAUCGCCGAUAGUGGUGAUAGUCGGGAGACCCUGACGGAUAGGGGGUUGGAUCGCCGAUAUUGGUGACAGAAGAGAAUAGUAACUGUGUGUGUGCGUGGCUUGUUGGGGGUCGAGAGGUGGAUUAUGGUCGCCGAUAUUGGUCACGGGUGAGAAUAUUUAUACGCUUGGGGUGACGUUGGGAGACGGUCACACUUGAUAUGCAUGAUA
rnacentral:lncRNA from 1 species